rnacentral:rRNA from 2 species
AGGUGCGAUCAUACCAGCACUAAUGCACCGGAUCCCAUCAGAACUCCGCAGUUAAGCGUGCUUGCGCGAGAGUAGUACUAGGAUGGGUGACCUCCUGGGAAGUCCUCGUGUUGCACCUC